GUGCUCAUUUUGGUAGCACCUGUACUAAAAUUGGAACGAUAGAAGAUUAGCAUGGCCCCUGUGCAAGGAUGACAUGCAAAUUCGUGAAGCAUUCCAUAUUUUU